rnacentral:pre_miRNA from 12 species
UCCAUCUUCCGGCCGGCGAUCAGUAAGUGCUUUACCCCGCAUGGGAUUAACCUUCAAAAGCUGCAACUUGAAUAUUCCAUCCAGUAAUGUCCACCUACAAGGAGCCACUGAAUGGGUGGGUGGA